UGGCCCAUCCGGGCAACGGAUAUCUGCUUUUA
rnacentral:ncRNA from 1 species